rnacentral:rRNA from 1 species
CCUACGGGUGACAGCAGUGAGGAAUAUUGGUCAAUGGUCGGGAGACUGAACCAGCCAAGCCGCGUGAGGGAUGAAGGUACAGAGUAUCGUAAACCUCUUUUGUCAGGGAACAAAGGCGGGGACGUGUCCCCUGAUGAGUGUACCUGAAGAAAAAGCAUCGGCUAACUCCGUGCCAGCAGCCGCGGUAAUACGGAGGAUGCGAGCGUUAUCCGGAUUUAGUGGGUUUAAAGGGUGCGCAGGCGGUCUGUUAAGUCAGCGGUCAAAGCCCGGGGCUCAACCCCGGCCCGCCGUUGAAACUGGCAGUCUCGAGUGGGAGAGAAGUAUGCGGAAUGCGCGGUGUAGCGGUGAAAUGCAUAGAUAUCGCGCAGAACUCCGAUUGCGAAGGCAGCAUGCCGGCUCCACACUGACGCUGAGGCACGAAAGCGUGGGUAUCGAACAGGAUUAGAUACCCCUGUAGUC